CUAUGGCCAUCCCACCCUGAACAUACCUGACCUUGUCUGAUCUCAGAAGCAAAGCAGGGUCAGGCCUGGUUAAAUUCAGAUGGGAGACCAAAGGGUAAGACUGGUUAUUAAAUGGA
rnacentral:rRNA from 1 species